GACGAACGCUGGCGGCGUGCUUAACACAUGCAAGUCGAGCGGUAAGGCCUCUUCGGGGGUACACGAGCGGCGAACGGGUGAGUAACACGUGGGUGACCUGCCCUCAGCUCUGGGAUAAGCCUGGGAAACUGGGUCUAAUACCGGAUAUGACCUUUCCUCGCAUGGGGUUUGGUGGAAAGUUUUUUCGGCUGGGGAUGGGCCCGCGGCCUAUCAGCUUGUUGGUGGGGUGAUGGCCUACCAAGGCGACGACGGGUAGCCGGCCUGAGAGGGCGACCGGCCACGGGGGGAAGGAGCCACGGCCGAGGCUCCUACGGGAGGGGGCGGGGGGGAAUAUGGCGCAAGGGGCGGAAGCCUGACGAGGCGACGCCGGGGGGGGGAGGCCGGCCUGGGGUUUAAAAACCUCUUUCGCCCCCGACGAAUUGGGAGGGUGGGGGAAGAAGAAGCCCCGGCCAACUACGGG
rnacentral:rRNA from 1 species